rnacentral:misc_RNA from 1 species
UUUAAACUCUGUGAAACCUCUGUGCGCUUCAAUGGCUUGCUUUCAGGUAUAGCGCUGUGGUCCUUUAAUGGAGCAGUCCUACCAAUUGCAAAACUGAGCCCACUGCGACGAGGAGAAGAAUUAUUUUCGGAAGAUGGUGUUUCCGGCUUGUCCUUGACCGUAAGAUCAGGUUGUAAUAUAUGAUCCAUAUAUUUGCAAAAGCUUGUAAUUUGGGAAUGCACAUUUUCUUGGACCUGCUUCUGUUGAUCAGCUAGGGAGGCCUUGCCAGCCAUGUCAAUGAUCUCCUCUGCAUCAG